rnacentral:rRNA from 1 species
CCGGAGGGAUCAUUACCGAGUUUACAACUCCCAAACCCCAUGUGAACAUACCUGUUUCGUUCCCUCGGCGGUGCCCGGAAACGGCCCGCCAGAGGACCCAACAAACUCUUUUGAAUUUAUAGUAUCUUCUGAGUGAAAAAAACAAUAAAUCAAAACUUUCAACAACGGAUCUCUUGGUUCUGGCAUCGAUGAAGAACGCAGCGAAAUGCGAUAAGUAAUGUGAAUUGCAGAAUUCAGUGAAUCAUCGAAUCUUUGAACGCACAUUGCGCCCGCCAGUAUUCUGGCGGGCAUGCCUGUUCGAGCGUCAUUUCAACCCUCAAGCACCUUCGGGAGCUUGGUGUUGGGGAUCGGCAGAGCGUCCUCCGGGUCGCGCCGUCCCCCAAAUUUAGUGGCGGUCUCGCUGUAGCUUCCUCUGCGUAGUAAUACACCUCGCUCUGGAGUCUCGGCGCGGCCACGCCGUAAAACCCCAACUUUUUCUGGUUGACCUCGAAUCAGGUAGGACUACCCGCUGAACUUAAGCAUAUA